UGAAUCUUAACAUAUUUAUUGGUGUGAAUGUGUUAAUGAAUGAAAGAAAUGAAAUUAUGUACUUUAUUUCAUAUUUAACAAAGGAGUAAAAUAGAAUUAAUAUUUUAUACAGGUUCCUUGAAAAUCAGUUAUCUUCCUAAUUUUUGAUAUUUUGGCUCUGGUACCAUAUAUCUGAGCUGCUAUUUACAUGUCAGAAAUAGAUUUAUUUCUUCAAUAAACUCAUAACCUGUCA